GACCCGACUGCUAUUUGGGUGAGGAUAAGCCAUGCGAGUUGAAUGGGAUACCUAAAAAUCCCAUGGCAAACUGCUCAGUAACACAUGAUCAACUUACCCUAUAGAGGAAAAUAACCUCGGGAAACUGAGGAUAAUGUUCCAUAGUUGAAUCGGCUUGGAAAAGUUUUUCAAUAAAAGGGAUAAGAAAAAUGGUUCUUAUCUGCUAUAGGAUAGGAUCGUGCUCGAUUAUGGUUGUUGGUGAGGUAAAGGCUCACCAAGCCGAUAAUCGAUAGGGGCCGUGAGAGCGGGAGCCCCGAGAUGGGUACUGAGACAACGACCCAGGCCUUACGAGGCGCAGCAGGCGCGAAACCUCCGCAAUACACGAAAGUGUGACGGGGUUACCCAAAGUGUUCUAUUUAGAACUGUGGUAGGUGAGUAAUGUCCCCUACUAGAAAGGAGAGGGCAAGGCUGGUGCCAGCCGCCGCGGUAAAACCAGCUCUUCAAGUGGUCGGGAUAAUUAUUGGGCUUAAAGUGUCCGUAGCCGGUUUAGUAAGUUCCUGGUAAAAUCGGGUAGCUUAACUAUCUAUAUGCUAGGAAUACUGCUAUACUAGAGGGCGGGAGAGGUCUGAGGUACUACAGGGGUAGGGGUGAAAUCUUAUAAUCCUUGUAGGACCACCAGUGGCGAANGCGUCAGACUGGAACGCGCCUGACGGUGAGGGACGAAAGCCAGGGGAGCGAACCGGAUUAGAUACCCGGGUAGUCCUGGCCGUAAACGAUGCAUACUANGUGAUGGCACGGCCAUGAGCCGUGUCAGUGCCGUANGGAAACCGUUAAGUGUGCCGCCUGGGAAGUA
rnacentral:rRNA from 1 species